rnacentral:rRNA from 1 species
UGAGCAAUCUGCCCUUCACAUCGGAAUAACCAUUGGAAACGAUGGCUAAUACCGAAUAUGACUUCGGAUCGCAUGAUCUGAAGUGGAAAGCUCCGGCGGUGAAGGAUGAGCUCGCGGCCUAUCAGCUUGUUGGUGAGGUAAUGGCUUACCAAGGCGACGACGGGUAGCCGGCCUGAGAGGGUGACCGGCCACACUGGGACUGAGACACGGCCCGACUCUACGGGA